CAGGAGCCUCAGGGCUCAGCUGCCAGGGGAAGGAAGCCUCACUCUUUCCUCCACACUGUCAAGAUACAAACGUGGAUGGGAAGGGCACACUCCACAGAAAUUCAAAGACCAUGCACCCUGGCUGCGGAGCUCACGGAGGACAGGCCAGAUGCGCAGGAAGAGUGAAGCAAGGCCCGUGAGGCAGGUCAAACGUCAAACCGACUCUAUCGGCAUCCAGAGGGGCUGUGCAGGAGCAGACACACCUGACAGCCUCACUCCAGCUGUGUUGGUGCCAUCCCUUGGGAAGGCAGGAGGUUUCAGGAACAGGAAUCGUUGAUGGGAACAGGUGUUUAGGCCAAAGAAUUCCGAAGAGGUUGGCAUUGCUGCCUUCCCAGAUAGUGGACGGAAACAGGUGGAUGGAGGCCAGGUCACCAGCGGGGAUUAAGACUCAUGCGAUCAAAGCCCAGGAAAGAGGGACUCUACCCUGCCAACCCUCAGCUCGGCUCAGCUCAGCAGCUCGCUAACUGUGAAACUCGGACGGACAUCCUGUGAUCACUCCAACGCUUUAAAAUUCAUCAAAGCGCAGAGCGCUGCCUGGCCGCAGCCCAUUGCUCUGUUGUUCUGAGGGGCAAGGCCACAGCGACCUACAGCAGGGAAGAGACAAACACAGAUCUGGUGCAGAGAUUAUUCGGGUCAUCGAUGACAGGCAGGCAAGAAAGCAGGAGCGUUUCCUGCACGGCCACACCCAAGCAGAACCUUUUCAGGGUACUCAUCCCUUUUUAGGCUGGGCUUCGCUCCCCAGCGAGGUCAGCAGGGCCAGCUGAUUGUUUUUAUUUUACAGGUGUGGGAUUCCCUCUGGGGUCUGACUGCCACACUCAGACACAGAAGGGGCAGCAGGGGCAGGGUUUCUAGAGACAGACCUCCUCAGUCAAAUGCUGGCCACUUACCAGUCAGCAGGCUUGGAAAUGUUAUUUUGCCCCUUUGUGCCUCAGUUUCCUCAGAUGUAAAUGGAGAUAAUAAAUGUACCUAUCUCGAGGAAUAAAUAAAAUCACCCACAGGCCAGC
rnacentral:lncRNA from 10 species